UCGCUGCAAUAAACGGGACUCGUUAAUGCCGCCAGUUGCCGUCAUGCCGGGAAACGGCGCCACUGCGGUACCUGGUGUCUGUAAUUCCUUUAUUUGGACACUAGAGGGUUUUCCCAGUGGAGACACGCAUGACAAUAUCCCCAUCUUUACCCUAAUACAAUGUCCUUCAGCAUUACACCGGCUAAAGAGCAGACAGGUUGACGG